UGAUUCUAAAAUGGCUUUGGAAAUCAUUUGCAACCAAUAGCAGCUUCCAUGCUCUGAAAUGUAACAUUUGUAUACAUACAGCUACGUUGCGGCUGCUGAAUGUUCACUAAUGUGAGCAGGGUUAUUCACUAAUGUGAGCAGGUAAUUUCAAAUUUAAAGCAGCACUAUCACUGCCUGGGGACUUUGCACCAUUGCCAAGACCCCCAAUGGUGACAUCGCCGGGGUGGGUGCAGGUGAAGGUGUGUUUGAGAGUACAGGCGAAUGUACAGAAUUGAGGUCUAUGGAGGACCCUGCGAGACCGUGGAAUUCUAUGUUUAUGAAAUACACAUUUCAGGGGGGAGGGGUGACGGGAGCAGUGCCCCUUUAAUGUCAAAAUAGCUGAAGAGGAAAAUUCUCCCAGUCACCUAUACUUUCCAUUUAGCUACUUUGACCUUCAAUUUGAAAUUAAUUUUGAAUGCUCAGGAAUUCUCAAUUUAGUUAAUAACC